AUACGGAGGGGGCAAGCGUUGUUCGGAAUUAUUGGGCGUAAAGAGUAUGUAGGCGGUUAGAUAAGUCAGGCGUGUAAGCCCACGGCUCAACCGUGGAAUUGCGUUUGAAACUGUUUGACUUGAGUUCAGAAGAGGAAAGUGGAAUUCCCAGUGUAGCGGUGAAAUGCAUUGAUAUUGGGAAGAACAUCGGUGGCGAAGGCGGCUUUCUGGUCUGAUACUGACGCUGAGAUACGAAAGCCAGGGGAGCAAACGGGAUUAGAUACCCCAGUAGUCC
rnacentral:rRNA from 1 species